CCUACGGGUGGCAGCAGUGGGGAAUAUUGCACAAUGGGGGGAACCCUGAUGCAGCGACACCGCGUGGGUGAAGGAGUUUUUCGGUAUGUAAAGCCCUAUCAGCAGGGAAGAACAAUGACGAUACCUGACUAUUCCACACCGGCUAAAUACUUUCCAGCAGCCACGGUAAUACGUAUGGUGCAAGCGUUAUCCAGAUAUACUGGGUGUACAGGGUGCGCAGGCGGGGUGUUAAGCCUGGUGUGAAACCCCGGGGCCGCACCGCGGGACUGCAUUGGGAACUGGCGCGCUGGAGUGAGGGAGGGGUAGGCGGAAUUCCUAGUGUAGCGGUGAAAUGCGUAGAUAUAAGGAGGAACACCAGUGGCGAAGGCGGCUUACUGGACGGAGACUGACGCUGAGGCACGAAAGCGUGGGGAGCAAACAGGAUUAGAUACCCGUGUAGUC
rnacentral:rRNA from 1 species